AUUGAACGCUGGCGGCAUGCCUUACACAUGCAAGUCGAACGGCAGCACGGGUGCUUGCACCUGGUGGCGAGUGGCGAACGGGUGAGUAAUACAUCGGAACGUACCUUAUCGUGGGGGAUAACGCAGCGAAAGCUGUGCUAAUACCGCAUACGCCCUGAGGGGGAAAGCGGGGGAUCGAAAGACCUCGCGCGAUUAGAGCGGCCGAUGCCUGAUUAGCUUGUUGGUGGGGUAAAAGCCCACCAAGGCGACGAUCAGUAGCUGGUCUGAGGGGACGAUAAGCCACACUGGGACUGAGACACGACCCAGACUCCUACGGGAGGCAGCAGUGGGGAAUUUUGGACAAUGGGGGCAACCCUGAUCCAGCAAUGCCGCGUGAGUGAAGAAGGCCUUCGCGUUGUAAAGCUCUUUUGUCAGGGAAGAAACACCGGCUCUAACACAGUCCGGGAAUGACGGUACCUGAAGAAUAAGCACCGGCUAACUACGUGCCAGCCGCCGCCGUAA
rnacentral:rRNA from 1 species